AACAAACGCUGGCGGCGUGCCUAAUACAUGCAAGUCGAACGGGGAAAGCUUUCGGGUGAGUACUAGUGGCGCACGGGUGAGUAACACGUGGGUAAUCUUCCUCAGAGUGUGGGAUAACUAGUCGAGGGAUUAGCUAAUACCACAUAAGACCACAGGAUCUGCGGAUCUAGAGGUUAAAGGUUUUUCGCUCUGAGAUGAGCCCGCGUAAGAUUAGCUAGUUGGUGAGGUAAUGGCUCACCAAGGCGACGAUCUUUAGCUGGUCUGAGAGGAUGAUCAGCCACACUGGAACUGAGACACGGUCCAGACUCCUACGGGAGGCAGCAGUAGGGAAUAUUGCACAAUGGAGGAAACUCUGAUGCAGCGACGCCGCGUGAGUGAUGAAGGACUUCGGUUCGUAAAGCUCUGUCGUAUGGGAAUAAUAAAUUGAAUGUACCAUGCAAGAAAGGAUCGGCUAACUUCGUGCCAGCCGCCGCCGUAA
rnacentral:rRNA from 1 species